rnacentral:rRNA from 1 species
AGCAGCCGCGGUAAUUCCAGCUCCAAUAGCGUAUAUUAAAGUUGUUGCAGUUAAAAAGCUCGUAGUUGAAUUUCGGGGUCAGUAGGUUGGUCGUGCCACCGGUACGUACUGGUCUCACUGAUUCCUCCUUCCUGAUGAGCUGUAAUGCCAUUAAUUUGGUGUUGCAGGGAAUCUGGACUGUUACUUUGAAAAAAUUAGAGUGUUUAAAGCAGGCUAACGCUUGAAUACAUUAGCAUGGAAUAAUGAAAUAGGACGUUCGAUCCUAUUUUGUUGGUUUCUAGGAUUGACGUAAUGAUUAAUAGGGAUAGUUGGGGGCAUUAGUAUUCAAUUGUCAGAGGUGAAAUUCUUGGAUUUAUUGAAGACUAACUACUGCGAAAGCAUUUGCCAAGGAUGUUUUCAUUAAUCAAGAACGAAAGUUAGGGGAUCGAAGACGAUCAGAUACCGUCGUAGUCUUAACCAUAAACUAUGCCGACUAGGGAUCGGAUGAUGUUAAUUUUUUAAUG